rnacentral:lncRNA from 1 species
GACCGCGCUCUCCUGCCGCGGCCUUCCCGCAGCCCGGAGGCUGAGGUGAGGAGCGAACCGCGGUGGGGGGGUUGGGGGGGGCGUGACGAGCCGGGCGCGAUCGCGGAGAGGACCAGGGCGCGCGGGCCGGCAUCCCCCUCUGCGCGUCCCCGCCGCGAUGUGAUUCCCUCCCACCCACCCCCACCCGUGGGAUGUAGGCGGGAUGUAGGAGAGUUCCGAACACGCAAAACGUGGCCAUCGUCGUCCCCCGGAUUCCCGAGGACCCCCGAGCGUGCUGGACCUGGGGAUCCGGCCGACGCGCGCACAGUACUGGGAUGACUGCACAAACACACGCGCGCAUAAACGCGCACACACACACACACACAGCUAACGCAUCGGUGUCGGGAAACGCGGUGGCCCGAGGCACGCGGAACCCUGUGCAGCCGCGAGAGACGCAGCCCGUGGAACCCUUUCUGUCGUCACCAGCUGAAAGGGAAUCCCGGCCGGGGGCGGGGAGGGAUGGAAACUGAGGAUAAUUUUAAAUGCUCUGUCUUUCACCUAGUCUGGAGCUCACCUCCUUGAGAAGGUAGAUAGAAAAUACUAACGCAGCGAAUGGUUUAGUCAGAUGGUGCAGGAGGCCUCUGAGAAGCCCGAAUUUGGGGCGGGGGGUGUAGAAUGAAAAACAGCAAAUCCAAUGAUCUAAUAAAAUUUUUUAAAAACUGAGAGCCCGCUUUCGUGCGCAGUAUACAGAUGCCUAGACUAGGUUAGAAAGGGUUUUUGCAGCUACCCGAUUUCUAUUACAUCCAAAAUGGAGGACCUAGCAAUACUGCAGGAAUCCAUUCAAAAGUUUGAUGUUCCAUAUAAAAUGAGCUGCGGUUCUAAAGAUACUUAUGAAAGCUGGCAUUCUGGGCACUUUCAAAUGACAAGCUAACGUAUCCUAUCCAUCCUUGGUCAAUGCCUGAAUUGUCUGGAGAACAGUUUAACCUGUUUUAACUAUGAAAAGCCUCCUGGUUUCAGAGCUCAACAAAGGCGGUUUGCUUUUUGGAAGGAAGCCCUGCAAGAAGCAGUGACCUAGAGCUGUGGCACAGGACCAGGGUGGCCUCGGGUAGUAAAAAGCACGGUGCCUCUGCUCUAAACAUGGUGUACUUGAAGAACACUAAUUUCCACCCACAUAGCUAAUUACAGCUUGCCAUCACAGAGCAUUUUAUUCAAGGAUCUCCAAGGACUGAAGAGAAAACAGCCCUGUCAGCCAAAUGUCCUUGUUGCCCAUAUUACGAGAAGAGACAGAAAUAUACAUCUCAAACAACCUCGUGUGUUAUUAGUACAAUAGCCGUGAUUAGAAAAACAUCUCAGCUCUGAGGUGCACUGCCUUUGUAUAAAGGGCAUCUGUAUAAAAUGCUUGCACCUCAAGUAUUCAACAAGUUAACUAAUGUCUAGAAAGAGGAAAAAAAGCACUAAUGCCUAUUGAAUCUUCUUGGGGAAAGAAUUAAGACACAUUCAGCCAGAAGUCACCCCAGCUCUCCUUAGUUCAUUCAUACCAAUAUAGUAAGUACAACAGAGCUUAGGUUUCAGAUAAAAGCCUUACCACCACCAGAAGAGGUGGAGAUACUGCUGUAAUGACUCAAACUAUCUCUUGUCAGAGACAAGAAACACCAAUAAAAAUUCCUUGCGAAUGACAUCAUAACCUGCUUCUCAUUUUUGCUAGCUAAUCCCAUCCUGAUCUAACGAAAUCACCAUCAUCUUUAUGCUAACAGCUGAUGUCCCCAUGGUAUGAGUACCAAAUUAAGUGAUCCAAGAGGAAAAUGCUAUUCUUGUUUUCUGUGUUUAUUAAAAAUGUACCAGCCAAGAAUGUUGGCUGCCUACACCCAUUUCCAUUCUUUUUAAUGGCAGCUUGCCAGCUCACAAGUUGGUCACACCAUUGCCUUCGGAUUUAGAUCUUGCAUUGGCCAGCCUGACCUCCAAAGGUCAUUUUGUGGAAAGACGGUUUGUUCGCUCUAACAAAAUGUUACUUCUUGUUCAUAUUUGGUCUAACAUUGAAAGGACAAAAUGGAAACUUGAGCUAGAAACAAGACUAAUUCUGGUCACGUGGGAAACUUCAAUGGACUGUGUUACUAUAUAGAAUGAAAGAAUUUUAGAGGGGAGAUAUCUUAAGUCAUUCAGUCAUUUAGAAGAAGAAUGUGAAAUCGGAUAGGUUAAGUAACUUGCCCAUUGCCUCAUAGUGCCUUUGUAGUAGAACUGAAACUCAAACCCAGGAUUUCCAUCUCUUGGUACCUUGUUGUUCCUCCCACAUCAUACUGACUUCCCACAGCUGAUUCUCUCCUCAUAAACCUAAACUUUUGCUUAAAAAUAAAGUUGGCGUGACUG